rnacentral:rRNA from 1 species
GACGAACGCUGGCGGCGUGCUUAACACAUGCAAGUCGAACGGAAAGGCCCUGCUUUUGUGGGGUGCUCGAGUGGCGAACGGGUGAGUAACACGUGAGUAACCUGCCCUUGACUUUGGGAUAACUUCAGGAAACUGGGGCUAAUACCGGAUAGGAGCUCCUGCUGCAUGGUGGGGGUUGGAAAGUUUCGGCGGUUGGGGAUGGACUCGCGGCUUAUCAGCUUGUUGGUGGGGUAGUGGCUUACCAAGGCUUUGACGGGUAGCCGGCCUGAGAGGGUGACCGGCCACAUUGGGACUGAGAUACGGCCCAGACUCCUACGGGAGGCAGCAGUGGGGAAUAUUGCACAAUGGGCGGAAGCCUGAUGCAGCAACGCCGCGUGCGGGAUGACGGCCUUCGGGUUGUAAACCGCUUUCGCCUGUGACGAAGCGUGAGUGACGGUAAUGGGUAAAGAAGCACCGGCUAACUACGUGCCAGCAGCCGCGGUGAUACGUAGGGUGCGAGCGUUGUCCGGAUUUAUUGGGCGUAAAGGGCUCGUAGGUGGUUGAUCGCGUCGGAAGUGUAAUCUUGGGGCUUAACCCUGAGCGUGCUUUCGAUACGGGUUGACUUGAGGAAGGUAGGGGAGAAUGGAAUUCCUGGUGGAGCGGUGGAAUGCGCAGAUAUCAGGAGGAACACCAGUGGCGAAGGCGGUUCUCUGGGCCUUUCCUGACGCUGAGGAGCGAAAGCGUGGGGAGCGAACAGGCUUAGAUACCCUGGUAGUCCACGCUGUAAACGGUGGGUACUAGGUGUGGGGUCCAUUCCACGGGUUCCGUGCCGUAGCUAACGCUUUAAGUACCCCGCCUGGGGAGUACGGCCGCAAGGCUAAAACUCAAAGGAAUUGACGGGCCCCCGCACAAGCGGCGGAGCAUGCGGAUUAAUUCGAUGCAACGCGUAGAACCUUACCUGGGUUUGACAUGGAUCGGGAGUGCUCAGAGAUGGGUGUGCCUCUUUUGGGGUCGGUUCACAGGUGGUGCAUGGCUGUCGUCAGCUCGUGUCGUGAGAUGUUGGGUUAAGUCCCGCAACGAGCGCAACCCUUGUUCACUGUUGCCAGCACGUUAUGGUGGGGACUCAGUGGAGACCGCCGGGGUCAACUCGGAGGAAGGUGGGGAUGACGUCAAGUCAUCAUGCCCCUUAUGUCCAGGGCUUCACGCAUGCUACAAUGGCUGGUACAGAGAGUGGCGAGCCUGUGAGGGUGAGCGAAUCUCGGAAAGCCGGUCUCAGUUCGGAUUGGGGUCUGCAACUCGACCUCAUGAAGUCGGAGUCGCUAGUAAUCGCAAAUCAGCAACGCUGCGGUGAAUACGUUCCCGGGGCU